ACCGACGAGGGUGACUAUCAGGUCAAGAUGAAGAACCUGACACGAUUCCUCGAAGGUGGCGACAAGGGCAAGGUCACGUUGCGCUUCCGCGGUCGCGAGAUGGCCCACCAGGACAUCGGUCGCAAGCUGAUGGAGCGCAUCGCCGCCGAUCUCGAGGAGAUCGGUACUGUCGAAUCCUUCCCCAAGAUGGAAGGGCGUCAGAUGAUCAUGAUUAUUGCCCCCAAGAAGAAGUGAUCCGGCGGCCGGUCAAACGGGUGGCGGGCGUGAUGCCCGCCAUCGGCCCCGGGUUUUCUCAAAAACCUCGAGCGGAGUUCAACUCAUGCCGA
rnacentral:misc_RNA from 2 species